GUGGGGAAUCUUGCGCAAUGGGCGAAAGCCUGACGCAGCCAUGCCGCGUGAAUGAUGAAGGUCUUAGGAUUGUAAAAUUCUUUCACCGGGGACGAUAAUGACGGUACCCGGAGAAGAAGCUCCGGCUAACUUCGUGCCAGCAGCCGCGGUAAUACGAAGGGGGCUAGCGUUGCUCGGAAUUACUGGGCGUAAAGGGCGCGUAGGCGGACAGCUUAGUCAGAGGUGAAAGCCCAGGGCUCAACCUUGGAAUUGCCUUUGAUACUGGCUGUCUUGAGUUUGGGAGAGGUGAGUGGAACUCCGAGUGUAGAGGUGAAAUUCGUAGAUAUUCGGAAGAACACCAGUGGCGAAGGCGACUCACUGGCCCAAUACUGACGCUGAGGCGCGAAAGCGUGGGGAGCAAACAGGGUUAGAUACCCCAGUAGUCC
rnacentral:rRNA from 1 species